rnacentral:rRNA from 1 species
GACAGAGGGUGCAACGUUGCUCGGAAUCACUGGGCGUAAAGGGCGUGUAGGCGGACUUGCAAGUCAGGUGUGAAAUCCCUGGGCUCAACCCAGGAAUUGCACUUUGAAACUGCAAGCCUUUGAGUGUCGGGAGAGGAAAGUGGGAAUUCCUGGUGUAGAGGUGAAAUUCGUAGAUAUCAGGAGGAACACCGGUGGCGAAGGCG